GGGGGCGUUCUGGAUUCGACGUUUUUCUAAAGUUUGUUAGUGCAUGCCGAGCUGCGAUUACUCGUAAAACAAUCGUAAACAUUUGUAACCGACAAAAACGAAAGUUACGCUUUAGCCGCUUAAAUGGCUAACUUUCCUUAUAACUCUGCCUGUGAAGUCAGUAGGAAAGUCGUUUUCACAGGAUUGUCAUUGCUUAUGACCUGAGAUAAGCAAGAUGAAAACUUAUCAGGGCUUCCGUGCUCGGGUUUGUAGAUUUUAACAAGUACGGAAAAGUAAAAAUCUAAUAAGCAUGUAGAGCUGCAAAUAGCGGUAUAGCGGACGCGGGUUCAACUCCCGCCGCCUCCACUU
rnacentral:tmRNA from 1 species